rnacentral:rRNA from 1 species
UACGUAGGGUGCGAGCGUUGUCCGGAAUUAUUGGGCGUAAAGAGCUUGUAGGCGGUUUGUCGCGUCUGCCGUGAAAAAUCCGGGGCUCAACCCCGGACUUGCGGUGGGUACGGGCAGACUAGAGUUCGGUAGGGGAGAUCGGAAUUCCUGGUGUAGCGGUGAAAUGCGCAGAUAUCAGGAGGAACACCGGUGGCGAAGGCGGAUCUCUGGGCCGAUGCUGACGCUGAGGAGCGAAAGCGUGGGGAGCGAACAGG